ensembl:lncRNA
AAGAAGUUGAAUUAAAUAGAAAAAUGCAAGUAAGUACAUACAGUGUGUACACAAUGUGAUCAACCAGUCAAACAUAAACUACAGAUGACUUGUCUUUAUGAAUCUAUAUGUGAAAUUAUGAUUGUUUAUAAAUAACACAAAAUGCAUACAUUAAAAUAAUCUCUUAUUUAUGAAAAAAUACUCUACGUCAUUAUUUCUUAAGCACUAGUGUGUGUGUGUGUGUGUGUGUGUGUGUGUGUGUGUGUGUGUCAGGUGGAUCAUGAGAAACUCCUGGAGUGCAGAAUAAGACUGAGAGAGAGUCACGAGAGACUGAUCGAGAAUGAACUGAUGAAGAUGGAGAGAGAAUUACAGGAGGAGCAGAUGGGUGGUGUGGAGGGCGAGAUGUCGUACCUGCGCAGAGAGAGACACAUCCUGGUUCUUCAGAUCGAGGCGCUGCGCAGGGAGAACCAGCAGGCGUCUGCAGACCUGGAGACCCAGAGCAGACAACACCAGCAGCAGAUCAGCAACCUCAGAGAAGAGAGUCUGCAGGUGUUCAGGGCGUUUCGUGAGGUUCUGGAGGAACAGAGGUGCAUGUCUGAGAGAAGGUACAGGAAUCUGCUGUUAGACGCCAUUCAGGAUGCUGUGCAUCUGUCCUCACAAAACCUGCAGCUCCAGGACGAAAUCCAGCAGCUCCGGAAAGGUCUCAGUCCCACUCCAUGACGCAUCUGAUCCAACACAGAUUAAUUCAUCUGUGGGUCUUAAAAAGUCUUCAUUUGCCCUUCCAUAAAUUAAGACCUAAAAACAUCUUUAAUCAAAGCAGAAACUCUAUAGAAAUGUGUAUAGUCAUGGCAUUAAAUGUUGCAUGCAGUGCAAAAUGAAUAUCUUCCACACUGUUUUUUUUUUCUUCCCCCAAUAUCUAAACAUCUUUAAUCACAAUACAUUUACAAAUUGAACAGUUUGAUGUCUUGUUUUCUGAGAAAUUGAGCAAAAUAAAGUGAGUUUAUGCUUUAAAACA